rnacentral:rRNA from 1 species
AAUGAACGCUGGCGGCGUGCCUAAUACAUGCAAGUCGAACGAAUUGGCGCACGGGUGAGUAAUAUAUAGCUAAACUGCCCCUUGCUGGAGGACAACAGAUAGAAAUGACUGCUAAUACUCCAUAGCAAGGGAUGAGACGAUAUCGCAUCAGCUAGGCGUUGGGGUAACGGCCUACCGAGGCUAGAACGCGUAACUGGUCUGAGAGGAUGAUCAGUCACAUGGGAGGUGAGACACGGUCGAAAAUCCUCCGCGAGGGAGCAGUAUGGAACAGUGCGCAGUGGGGGGAGUCCUGACGCAGCAACGGCUCGUGGAGGAUGAUACUUGUCGGAGAGGAAUCUCCUUUUGUUAGGGAAGCGGUACCUAACGAAUAAGCAACGGCUAACUCCGUGCCAGCAGCCGCGGUAAUUC